CUUUUAAAUGAUGAUAUCACUUAGAAUAUAUGACUGCUGUGAUAUGUCUUUAUGUUCCCUUGGCUGUCUGACUGAGUGUGUCCUACCUGUGAAUACGUCGUAAGGGGUUGGCCUUGACGUAAUGAUGUUAUCUUUCAGUGGACGACGACCGAUCUGGGAAUCAACCUUCCGGCUGUCUACUACAGGCUAAUUAGCUACAAGUUCGGGACAGCGUUUACGAGCUCUGGAUGGUUCAGGUAUCGCCCAUCUUCUAGAAGUGUACGGCGGCCGUUUUCAAGCAUCUCUUCCGACGUGAAUGAUGCAAGGUAACACCCAGUCAGAGGAGUCUGGCCGGCCUAUCCCGACCGCCAUCGGUCUGCUUGGAGGGCGCAGCGAGGUUAGCCGGUGACAAGUGACUUUCAAAGGACAAGUGCGUUGGAUGACGAAUAAAAAGCUUUACUCAAUGCUCCAAA